AUGCACAUUUCAUUGACUUUUUUAUGUCAGGAGAAAAGAUAUUUCUGAUGUGCUAAAUUACACGUGGAGGUAAAUUAGCAGCAUGACUAAUUAGUCAUUGCUGUCAGUCACCUUCAGACAACA
ensembl:snoRNA